ACCGUGAGGGAAAGGUGAAAAGAACCCCGGGAGGGGAGUGAAAUAGACCUGAAACCAUAUACCUACAAGCCGUGGAAGCCUUUUUUUAAAAGGGUGACCGCGUGCCUAUUGAAGAAUGAGCCUGCGAGUUAAUUUAAAUAGCAUGGUUAAAGGAUAAAAGUUCUGGAGCCAGAGCGAAAGCGAGUCUGAAUAGGGCGACUUUGUUGUUUGGAUUAGACCCGAAACCGGGUGAGCUACCCAUGGCCAGGUUGAAACCAAGAUAAUAUCUUGGUGAAGGACCGAACCCGUGUAAAGUGCAAAUUGCUGGGAUGAGCUGUGGGUAGAGGUAAAAUGCCAAUCGAACCCGGAGAUAGCUGGUUCUCUCCGAAAUGUAUUUAGGUACAGCGUUAAAUUAGUCUUAGGGAGGUAGAGCACUGGAUGGAUAAGGGGGCGUAAGCCUACCAAGUUCAACCAAACUCCGAAUGCCUUAAGAUGAUGUUUAGCAGUGAGACCGUGGGGGAUAAGCUCCAUUGUCAAAAGGGAAACAGCCCAGAUCACAAGCUAAGGUCCCUAAGUCUGAACUAAGUGGGAAAGGAAGUUAGAAUCCACAAACAGCCAGGAGGUUGGCUUAGAAGCAGCCAUCCUUUAAAGAAAGCGUAAUAGCUCACUGGUCGAGGUUUCUAGCGCCUAAAAUGUAACGGGGCUAAAGUUCAGCACCGAAGCUGUGAGUUUUCUAUUUUAAUAGAAAGCGGUAGGAGAGCGUUGUCAGUGCACUGAAGCUAAAAUGUGAGUUUUGGUGGAGCGCUGAGAAGUGAGAAUGCAGGCAUGAGUAGCGACAAUCGUGGUGAGAAUCCACGACACCGGAAGCCCAAGGUUUCCUACGCAAUGUUGAUCAUCGUAGGGUUAGUCGGGCCUAAGUGAAAGCGUAUAGCGAACACGAUGGAUAUCGGGUCAAAAUUCCCGAACCAUUUGUAUUGUGUUUUAACGCAAAGGGGGGACGCAAGAAGGUAAGUAGAGCAUACCUAUUGGACAUGGUGUGUUUGCUUUUGUAGAUGAUGACCAAAUAGGUAAAUCCGUUUGGUAUUUUAGUUGAGGAAAGCAAAAACUCGAGAGCUUAGCUCAAAGGAAUUCUGCUGACCCUAGGUUGCCAAGAAAAUCCUCGUUGUAAAUAAUAUAAAUGACCGUACCGCAAACCGACACAGGUAGGCAGGGAUAAAAGUCCCAAGGUGAACGAAAGAACCUUCGUUAAGGAACUCGACAGAUUGACCCCGUAACUUAGGGAGAAGGGGUGCCUAUUAUUUAAUACUGAUUUACUUAGUAAAGGGUAAUAGGCCGCAGUGAAUCGGUCCAAGCGACUGUUUAUCAAAAACAUAGGUCUAUGCUAAACCGAAAGGUGAUGUAUAUGGGCUGACGCCUGCCCAGUGCCGGAAGGUUAAGAGGAGAGGUUAGGAGUAAUCCAAAGCUUUGAAUUGAAGCCCCGGUGAACGGCGGCCGUAACUAUAACGGUCCUAAGGUAGCGAAAUCCCUUGUCAGGUAAGUUCUGACCCGCACGAAUGGCGUAACGACUUGGACAUUGUCUCAACGAAGGACUCGGUGAAAUUGCAGGACCAGUGAAGAUGCUGGUUACCUACGACAGGACAAAAAGACCCCGUGGAGCUUUACUGCAACUUGGCAGUGAUUUAGGCUUAUAAACGUGUAGGAUAGGCGGGAGACUUUGAAACUUUAGCGCUAGUUAGAGUGGAGUCGACCUUGAAAUACCGCCCUUUUAUAAUCUUGGAUCUAACUUUAUUUAUAUGAAGGACCCUGCCUGGUGGGCAGUUUGACUGGGGCGGUCGCCUCCCAAACAAUAACGGAGGCGCCCAAAGGUUCCCUCAAGGUGGAUUGGAAAUCACCUUUCGAGUGUAUUGGCAUAAGGGAGCUUGACUGCGAGACCUACAAGUCGAGCAGGGACGAAAGU
rnacentral:rRNA from 1 species